UGAUCUUCAGUAUUGGUGGUUUUGUGUGG
rnacentral:piRNA from 1 species